rnacentral:rRNA from 1 species
AGUGAACGCUGGCGGUAGGCCUAACACAUGCAAGUCGAACGGCAGCACAGUAAGAGCUUGCUCUUACGGUUGGCGAGUGGCGGACGGGUGAGGAAUACAUCGGAAUCUACUUAUUCGUGGGGGAUAACGUAGGGAAAGUUACGCUAAUACCGCAUACGACGUACGGGUGAAAGCAGGAGAUAUUGGGACCUUGCGCGAUUGAAUGAGACGAUGUCGGAUUAGCUAGUUGGCGGGGUAAAGGCCCACCAAGGCGACGAUACGUAGCUGGUCUGAGAGGAUGAUCAGCCACACUGGAACUGAGACACGGUCCAGACUCCUACGGGAGGCAGCAGUGGGGAAUAUUGGACAAUGGGCGAAAGCCUGAUCCAGCCAUACCGCGUGGGUGAAGAAGGCCUUCGGGUUGUAAAGCCCUUUUGUUGGGAAAGAAAAGCAGCAGGUUAAUACCCCGCUGUUCUGACGGUACCCAAAGAAUAAGCACCGGCUAACUUCGUG